UUUCUCGGUAAGUUGAGAUCAACUUAUGGAAAGGCCAAUUUUUGCGGCCAACUUGGUGACAGGUUGCAGCAGUAGAUUGUCGACAAGUUGCGUGCCAACUUGGCUAUCAGGGGAAGUGUUCCUGAUAUUUAAAAAAUAAAAAAAAAAAAGUUUAGUUUUUUCCUAACCUGAGAUUUUAAGGAGUAAGUUCUCUUUAAAAAUUAAAAGUUAAAUGCAUAGAAUUAUUAAAAAUAUAAUGAUAAAAUAAAAAAUGUUUAUAAAAACAAAGAUAAAAGUUUCGGAUACACACCGGGGUUUAACUAAAUUGUCGCGAUGCGAUGCAAAUGAUUCAGUAACAGCUUCCCCUCCUGGGCAUCCACUCUUCCGGCGUAUUAACAAUGUUGGCGGUGGUUUAACUCAAAAUCACUAUACAUAUUUUAACACGGGCGUAACCGCAAGAAAAUUGCCUAUUACGUAUACAUAUAAAACGAUAUGUAUAUAACUUUAUAUUCAUCACGAACAAGGGUAUAAAAUCAUCAGCUAAACACCAGCUAUGCGGCAUAAGAGAAACGAAGGGCAUCUACAUGGUUCUAUAUAACAAGUGUUGUAAAGAGGGUAGCCUCCGGCAAAAGCUGAACGUUGCAGAGGCAUAUUCGAUAGAUAAAUCAAAAGACGUGGAACGAGUCGAGUUGUCGUUUCAAGAGAUAGUCUGCACAGCUUUACGUACUCCGGCACAAGAGCCCGCAGGAAGCGUGUGCUUUGCUAACGAUGACAAACGACGGCCACUUCGCCGUGCAAGGCGGAGACGAUAUUUAUGCUAAUCCAGUCUCUCUCGCGCGACAACCGACAAGAAGAAGAAGAGAAUGAGAGAGCACGAGAAAACCGACUCAUAUAAGUUUACUUAGAGCCAAUAGAAGCGAAAGUAAGAGCCCGCAAAACGGCACGAAGAAGAUGGAGAAUGGUCAGAAAUUAAUAUCUGCUUUGGACGUAAUCGGAUUGGCGGUGAUUUAACGGUUCGUGAGAGAACUGUCGUCGGAGUAUAUAAGACUUUUUAUUUGUGAUUUCCUUUUCUUGCACCGAAAGGUCUUGUGACGGUCUAUGGUUGGAUGAAGAACGACGACGAGACCUUACGUCGUCACUUGGCAGCACCGUGGACAACAGCUCCACCAGUACUUCUUUUGACAGCUGGUAUUGAAUGAACUUGCGGCUGCUGUUGCUCAACAAUUGCGUCACUCUCUUUGUCCUGAUGUGCCGUCAUAUGUCUUGUAAGAUGAUGUCUCUCACGGAAACUUUCAUCGCACACCGGGCAUCUGAGUUUAUCUUCACGCCGUCGUCGUGCUGCCUCACCAACACUUUCAUUCUUGUGAUGGGAUCUCAUGUGAUAAACGAGAUCUGAAGUCAUGCGGAACGACAAAUUGCACUUGGCACAUACAUUUUGCGCCGGUAGACUGAGCGCAAAUGACGGUGGCAGUAACCCAGCAACACCUGUCACUCCAGAGACACCGAGAAAGUGCCGUGGUCGUACUAGUGCUUCAGACAUCGGCGCGGGAAACACAGAAAUUGUCUUUCAGGUCAAAGCGACCCCCUUGGAAUCAUUUGUGGAUAGACAAGCAGGGGGUGAAAAACGCAUGGUAUAUAUAUACACGGCAUGCGGCUACGUCGGACAUAUGGUCGCUGGUCCCCAGUGAUCCAAGCCAGAGUCCUCAUGAGUUUUCAAUGAGAUUAACGGGCCAUCUGUGCAAUCCCGGGUGAUUAACAAAAGCUAAAAUAAACCCGGAGUAAAUACAUCACAUAUAUGGAGUUGAAGGGGAGUAAAGUCGAUCAUCAUUGAUUGUAUAUGCGUCCAUAUAUCUACUCUCUGUUAGGGCUAUUGGUGUGUAUAUAGUUUAGACCCAUAUGGAGUCUGCCGUCCGCGCAUAUGCCACGACAACACCACUAACGAGGAGACUAUGACCGAGAUCUCAGCCUCAAACUGUAUCACAAAUUCGAUGAAUAUUUUUAGCAAUUAUUUUUUUUUUAUUUAAUUCAUGACUGCAUGUAGAGAAAAGUCUGCGGACAGCUGGCAAUUUUAUUUAAUCUACUGCUAUAUUUAUAUUAUUUAUAUGUAUAUGUAUAACUGUAUAAUACAUCAUCGAUUCACUUGAUAUUAUCAGGCUGUCCCCAGAAUUAAUCUUGUUUGUUAAAUCCACCAUUUAAUCGCAACAUUUUCCCUAAAUCCUCGCAACAGAUUUUGGGAUAAUAUUAAUUUACAUUUAUUUUAAUUAAUGAUUUUUAACCACAAAAUAUCAAAGCUGUACCACUAUGAUGAAUAUAUCAUAGAAAAGAAUAAAUAAUAAGAAACAAAAUUAAAUGUUAAUAUAAGUAAAAGAGUAAGUGAACAUGGGUAUAAAAAAAUAAUAAAUAAAAAUGAGAGGGUGAGACACGGGUUGAGCUAGUGCGUAGCCUUUGUCGUAGCAGUGUUCAUUGUAUAUGACAGGGGUAUAGGUACCCUUAUAUCCACUAUACUACUACUGUGGUGCACUUCGCCCCAGCUUCUCGUGCAUCUGUCCUCAAUC